CCUUUUUUUUUAAAAAAAAAACUGAAAGAGCUCUCUCUUCUCUUUCAAGUGUCUCCCGCUUCCGGCCAAGCUCUAGCCAUGCACCGCCGCGUCGGCCGCCGGAAAACUCAAAAAAUUCUCUUUUUCGGCGAUAAAAAAAAAGGUGCAACUUAGGCGGUGGCAAUAGUGGAGGCGGUGGCCGACCAGGGACGAAGCCAGAACAAAUUUUUAGGGGGGGCGAAUAAAAAUUUAAUUUUUUAUAGAUCUUUAUAAUUUUUAAAGGAUUAAAUCAAAUUUUUAUAAUUUUAGGGGGGGCCAAA